rnacentral:rRNA from 1 species
GGCUCAGGAUGAACGCUGGCGGCGUGCUUAACACAUGCAAGUCGAACGAUGAACCUCACUUGUGGGGGGAUUAGUGGCGAACGGGUGAGUAACACGUGAGUAACCUGCCCUUGACUCUGGGAUAAGCCUGGGAAACCGGGUCUAAUACUGGAUACGACCUUCUGGCGCAUGCCAUGUUGGUGGAAAGCUUUUGUGGUUUUGGAUGGACUCGCGGCCUAUCAGCUUGUUGGUGGGGUAAUGGCCUACCAAGGCGACGACGGGUAGCCGGCCUGAGAGGGUGACCGGCCACACUGGGACUGAGACACGGCCCAGACUCCUACGGGAGGCAGCAGUGGGGAAUAUUGCACAAUGGGCGCAAGCCUGAUGCAGCGACGCCGCGUGAGGGAUGAAGGCCUUCGGGUUGUAAACCUCUUUCAGUAGGGAAGAAGCCGGCUUUCGGGUU